UCUAGAAAUGGCGCAUUAUUCUAGUCAAUUUCUUUUAUUAGGAAGACGGGGCUAAAAAUCCGUUAAAGAGCACAUCUGUGAAACAUUUGGUGCUUGCUUCAUACGCCCAGUUUGGGGUGAGUGCUGGAUGGAUGAAAUGUUGGGCGAUCGUAAUGGCAUACGACCCCGACCCAAUAUUUCGUGGAGACCUAUACUUGUUAUUAGCCUAUACAUGUUUUCAUUGACGGACUAGUAACGACUUAGGAUAAAACCUACUUUGCGGGGCAACUUGUGAGUAGUGUAGCUUGUCUUGCGUGAUAUUUGGGGAUAAAAGAUCUACAUAAAGUGACAAUGGCCAACGUUAUUUUAUGAUUGCUUUUUGAAACAAGUGUUGCAAAAAAGAAUUAGUAAUAAAAGAAUUGUUGAGGAAAUCUCCUAGAGUGUUUUGUUAACAUAGGAUUGCAGUGUACACUCAGUGGUAAUCAAGUCAUAUACUAGGUGACAGUAUAUCAAAAACUUUAAAGGGGAACCGCUAUUUGGUAACGAAUAGUAGUUUUUGGGGAAAUCCUACUUGACCUAAGGUGCAAAGUUUACUAUGUUAAUAGCCAUUUAAAAGUAA
rnacentral:sRNA from 1 species